rnacentral:lncRNA from 1 species
GAGAGUCAGCAACGGAUAUCAACAGUGAACAACAGUUUUGAAUUGUUUUUGACCCAGAAAUGACACCACACGACCCAGGACUCAAUUUCAGGCGAACAAACACCAAUAAAUAAACCAAAACCAAUUUGAAUGACCAAAUGGAAACUCAGAAAUCAACCAAGAGCUCCUGGAGUCUCAACUACUGAAUUACCAGGACAAUUUGAACCUUUU